ACUCCUACGGGAGGCAGCAGUGAGGAAUAUUGGACAAUGGGCGCAAGCCUGAUCCAGCCAUGCCGCGUGCAGGAAGACUGCCCUAUGGGUUGUAAACUGCUUUUAUACGGGAAGAAACACUCCCUCGUGAGGGAGCUUGACGGUACCGUAAGAAUAAGGAUCGGCUAACUCCGUGCCAGCAGCCGCGGUAAUACGGAGGAUCCAAGCGUUAUCCGGAAUCAUUGGGUUUAAAGGGUCCGUAGGUGGAUAAUUAAGUCAGAGGUGAAAUCCUGCAGCUCAACUGUAGAAUUGCCUUUGAUACUGGUUAUCUUGAGUCAUUAUGAAGUGGUUAGAAUAUGUAGUGUAGCGGUGAAAUGCAUAGAUAUUACAUAGAAUACCAAUUGCGAAGGCAGAUCACUAAUAAUGUACUGACACUGAUGGACGAAAGCGUGGGGAGCGAACAGGAUUAGAUACCCUGGUA
rnacentral:rRNA from 1 species